UACGUAGGGGGCAAGCGUUGUCCGGAUUUAUUGGGCGUAAAGAGCGUGUAGGCGGCCGCACAGGUCCGUUGUGAAAACUGGAGGCUUAACCUUCAGACGUCGAUGGAAACCGUGCGGCUAGAGUCCGGAAGAGGAGAAUGGAAUUCCUGGUGUAGCGGUGAAAUGCGCAGAUAUCAGGAAGAACACCCGUGGCUAAGGCGGUUCUCUGGGACGGUACUGACGCUGAGACGCGAAAGCGUGGGGAGCGAACAGG
rnacentral:rRNA from 1 species